AUGGUUAAGCUUGUGCUGCUCAUCCGAGGAGCUGCGCUACUGCUUUGUCUAUUGAUCUCCCAAACAACAUCCACUCCCCAUGUUCAAGUGAGUGCAUCUGGAGCCUGCAUCAGCAGCGAGCGAGAUGCGCUUCUAUCCUUCAAGGCAAGCCUCCUGGAUCCUGCUGGCCGUCUCUCGUCAUGGCAGGGUGAGGAUUGUUGCCAAUGGAAGGGAGUCCGCUGCAGCAACAGAACGGGCCAUCUCAUCAAGCUCAACCUCCGCAACAUCGACAUGGAAAUGGAAGACUACAUGGACAACAUGGGCUACUACAUGUACAACAUGGACUACUACAUGUACGACAUGGGCUACAUCAACAUGUACGACUACAACUACCCGAACAGGAGCAAACCAUUGAGCUUGUCGGCAGGCGAGAUGAGCUCUUCUUUGGCUACUCUACAACACCUGAGGUAUCUUGAUCUGAGCUGGAAUGACUUCAAUGGCACAAGCAUCCCUGUCUUCUUGUCUUCUCUCAAGAACCUAAGGUCUUACAUAGUGGAUCUUGCAUGGUUGCCACGUCUCUCUUUGUUGAGUCAUCUUGACAUGAGCUAUGUGGAUCUUAGCUCUGCAAGGGAUUGGUUUCAGAUGGUUAACAUGCUUCCUUCUCUGAAAGUGCUUCGCUUGUCCGAGUGUGGACUCGAUGGUACUAUAUCUGCUAGUACAUCAAUUUCCAACCUCACACAUCUUGAGGUCCUUGAUGUGUCUGAUAACACCUUGAGAAUACCUUCCCAAUUUGGCAAUCUCUCAAAGUUGCAAUAUCUCGAUGUGAGUUUGAAUUCUUAUCCCAAUGUAGAUCAUGCAUGGUUGUCACGUCUCUCUUCGUUGAGCCAUCUUGACAUGAGUUAUGUGGAUCUUGGUUCUGCGAGGGAUUGGUUUCAGAGUGUUAAUAUGCUUCCUUCUCUUAAAGUUCUUGGCUUGUCCGGUUGUGGACUCAACAGCACCAUGUCUGCUAGUAUAUCACUUUCCAACCUCACACAUCUCGAAGUCCUUGAUAUGUCUGGUAACAACUUCUAUACUUCACUCAAGCAUGCAUGGUUUUGGAAUCUCAAAAGCCUUAAGGAGCUUUACCUCUCCUAUUCCAGCUGGAUAGGGUCUAUUCCUAGUGAUUUGGCAAACAUGACGGCCCUUCAAGUCAUAGAUUUAAGUGGGAAUCAGCUCGUGGGUUUGAUACCAGAAAAACUGGGAAAUUUGUGCAAUUUGACCAGAAUGAGGUUCAGUCGUAACAACAUAGGUUCAAGCAUAGGGGAGUUCAUGAGGCGAUUACCAAAGUGCUCAUGGAAUACAUUGCAGGAAUUUUCGGUGCAGGAUGCAAAUAUGACCGGGAAUCUACCCAGUUGGAUUGGUAACAUGACCAAUCUCAGUGUCCUUCGAGCAUCUCAAAACAUGUUGACUGGCCCUCUACCUGUAGGAGUUGGAACACUGAGUAGUUUGAAAUGGCUGAACCUCAGGAACAAUAACUUCAGUGGUGUGCUCUUGAAAGAACAAUUUUCAAAUUUAGGUAAAUUAGAGCUUUUGGGCCUCAGCCACAAUAACUUCAGCGGUGUGCUAUUGAAAGAACAAUUUGCUGGUUUAGGCAACUUAAAGGUUUUGGAGCUUAGCUACAAUAGCUUCAAUAGUGUGAAAGAACAAUUUGCAAGCUUAGGAAAAUUAGAGCAUUUGGACCUUAGCCACAAUAACUUGAGCGGUGUGCUAUUGAAAGAACAUUUUGCUGGUUUAGGCAACUUAAAGGUUUUGGAUCUCAGCUACAAUAACUUCAACAGUGUGAAAGAACAAUUUGCAAGCUUAGGCAAAUUAGAGAAUUUGAACCUCAGCCACAAUAACUUCAACAGUGUGAAAGAACAUUUUGCAAGUUUCGGAAACUUAAAGCUUUUGGAUCUCAGCUACAACAAAUUCAGUGGUGUGCUCUUCAAUGAAGAUUUUGCAAGUCUAGGUAACAUGGAGCAUUUGGACCUCAGCUAUAAUAACUUCAGUGAUUUUCUCUUGAAAGAACACUCAGAAAGCUCAAGUAAUAUAAAGCAUCUGGAUCUUAGCCAUAAUAAACUAGAUAGUGUGCUCGUGGAGAAGCAUUUUGCAGGCCUAUUGAAUUUAGAGUAUCUGGACUUGUCGUACAAUUCUUUGAGAUUUGCUAUCAACCAAAAAUGGGUUCCAACAUUUAGAUUAAAGGUUGCGAAAUUCCAAUCAUGCAAACUGGGGCCCAUUUUUCCAGAGUGGCUGAAAUGGCAAUCUGAUAUUGAUGUUCUUGUUCUCAGUGAUUCAAAUCUAGAUGAUGUUAUUCCUGAUUGGUUUUGGGUAACAUUUUCCCGAGCUUCAACCUUGCAAGCAUCAGGAAACAAAUUGCGUGGCUCAUUACCGACAAAUCUACAACACAUGUCAGCUGAGUAUAUACAUCUUGGGUCCAAUACGUUGACAGGUCAAGUUCCAAAGUUGCCUAUACAUAUAAGCCGACUGGACCUAUCUUCAAACUCUUUAUCCGGGUCGUUGCCAUCUGAGUUGUAUGCUCCUGCACUCGAAGACUUGAUGCUUGCAAAUAAUCAACUCACAGGCACCAUCCCAUUGUCUAUAUUCCAAUUGACUUUUCUGUAUAGGUUGGACCUAUCAGGAAACCAUUUAGAAGGAGAUAUUAUGCAGUGUUGGAAGGAAUCUGAUGCAAACUCUACAAGUCAAUUUGGUUGGGACUUGUUCAGCUUAGCCCUAAAUAACAACAAUCUGACUGGUCAAUUCCCUAAAUUUCUUGCAAGGUCAUCAAAAUUGAUGUUCCUUGACCUUUCUUACAAUAGGUUAUUUGGAGGAUUGCCAGAAUGGUUGCCAGAAAAAAUCCCACAGUUGAAAAUAUUAAGAGUGAGAUCAAAUAUGUUCAGUGGUCAUAUUCCUCAGAGUUUCACUUCCCUUCGCCAUCUUCACUAUUUGGACAUAGCGCACAACGACAUGUCAGGAAGCAUACCUUGGUCUUUGUCAAACUUGAAGGCAAUGAAGGCAGGGGUUUCACAGGACACAAAGGAUUACUACUAUGAAGAGAGCAUCCCAGUAAUCAUGAAGGACCAAAAGCGUGACUACACCUUCGCGAUCUACAAUCUACUGGUAAUUCUUGAUUUGUCAAGUAAUAGUUUGGCAGGACAAGUUCCAGAGGAGAUAACUCUACUCCUUGGACUUACCAGCCUGAACUUGUCAAAUAAUCAGUUCAUAGGAACGAUCCCAAACCAAGUUGGUGAUUUGAAGCGGUUGGAGUCACUCGACCUAUCCUUCAAUGAGUUUUCUGGUGCAAUACCAUCAAGUUUGUCAGCUUUAACUUAUUUGAGCCACUUGAACUUGUCAUACAACAAUCUGUCCGGUGCAAUACCACCUGGACAACAGCUACAAACUCUUGGCAACCAGAUGUAUAUCUACAUCGGUAACCCUGGUCUUUGUGGAGAUCCGGUUGGCAGGAACUGCUCAACACAUGAUGGAGAGCAAAGUGGCCUCGGAGAUAUAAAUCAUAUGCCAUCCGUUUAUCUUGCCAUGAUUAUGGGAUUUGUGAUGGGUCUGUGGACAGUUUUCUGCACCAUGUUGAUGAAGAGAACAUGGAGGGCUGCCUUCUUCCAGUUUGUUGAUAUGAUGUACGACAUCGUUUAUGUGCAAGUGGCUUGUAUAUGUCUGGGGAUUAUUUAUGCUGAAGUCAGCCAUUGUUCGCUCGUCGAUGUGCACUGCAUGGAGAAAGAUACAGCCCCAUAUGGACAUUUUUUACUCAAGUCACCCAUGCCCACCGAGGGUGUGUUUGCCAGCGAAGUGGAGAAGCUCAAGGCCGACCAGUUCAAGCCCCCGAAGCAGGUGAUCCUGGAGCCCUUUGAGCACGAACACGCCUGCAUCGUUGGUGGUUAUAGGAUGCCCAAAAAGUAA
rnacentral:rRNA from 1 species